AUUGAACGCUGGCGGCAGGCUUAACACAUGCAAGUCGAGCGGGGAAAGGUAGCUUGCUACUUGACCUAGCGGCGGACGGGUGAGUAAUGCUUAGGAAUCUGCCUAUUAGUGGGGGACAACAUCUCGAAAGGGAUGCUAAUACCGCAUACGUCCUACGGGAGAAAGCAGGGGACCUUCGGGCCUUGCGCUAAUAGAUGAGCCUAAGUCGGAUUAGCUAGUUGGUGGGGUAAAGGCCUACCAAGGCGACGAUCUGUAGCGGGUCUGAGAGGAUGAUCCGCCACACUGGGACUGAGACACGGCCCAGACUCCUACGGGAGGCAGCAGUGGGGAAUAUUGGACAAUGGGGGGAACCCUGAUCCAGCCAUGCCGCGUGUGUGAAGAAGGCCUUUUGGUUGUAAAGCACUUUAAGCGAGGAGGAGGCUACCGAGAUUAAUACUCUUGGAUAGUGGACGUUACUCGCAGAAUAAGCACCGGCUAACUCUGUGCCAGCAGCCGCCGUAAUAC
rnacentral:rRNA from 1 species